rnacentral:rRNA from 1 species
UGUGUAGGCGGUCUGCCAAGUCAGGGGUGAAAUCCUUCGGCUCAACCGGAGAACUGCCCCUGAUACUGGCGGGCUAGAGGGAGACAGAGGCAGCCGGAACUACCGGUGGAGCGGUGAAAUGCGUUGAUAUCGGUAGGAACGCCAGAGGCGAAAGCGGGCUGCUGGAUCUCUUCUGACGCUGAGACACGAAAGCUAGGGAGCGAACG